UGAAACUCAAAUCCAUGAAGACCCGAAUGUGGCUCUUUUCUUUCUGGAAAAGGAUAUGCACCCCGGGGCAACAAUGAGCCUGCAUUUCACUGAAAAUACAGAGAAAUCAGCUUUCUUACCUUAUCAAACUGCCCAAAAAAUACCGUUUUCAUCUGACAAGUUGCCAGAAAUUUUCAACAAGUUUUCAGUGAAACCUGGAUCACUGAAGGCAGAGAUGAUGAAGAACACAAUUAAGGAGUGCGAACAGCCAGCGAUUGAAGGAGAGGAAAAAUAUUGUGCAACCUCACUGGAGUCAAUGAUUGACUAUAGCAUUUCCAAACUAGGGAAAGUUGAUCAGGCAGUCUCAACAGAAGUGGAAAAACAAACCCCAACGCAGCAGUAUACAAUAACAGCUGGAGUGCAGAAGAUGACAAAUGGCAAAGCUGUAGUGUGCCACAAGCAGAAUUAUGCAUAUGCUGUCUUCUAUUGUCAUAAAUCAGAAACAACAAGGGCUUACAUGGUUCCUUUAGAGGGUGCUGACGGAACAAAAGCCAAAGCAGUAGCAGUCUGCCACACAGAUACAUCAGCAUGGAACCCUAAGCAUUUGGCUUUUCAAGUCCUAAAAGUUGAGCCAGGAACCAUUCCUGUCUGCCAUUUCCUUCCUCGGGAUCACAUUGUUUGGGUCCCUAAGUAAAAGUCCUGAAGAGUAGAUUCAUACACUAUAGUUUCUUCACAGUGUGCAUUAAAACAGCUUAAAGCAAUAUCCAGUUUGUUCUAUAAUAAUAUACCCACAAGUUUAGUCAUGUAAAAUCUAUCCAUGAAUCAUGUUCUUAGUAAUGGAUAAAAUGAUAUUACUUUCUGUAUCACAAGGGUUUGGUGAUAAAUGUAUUAGUAUUUUAAGUAACUUUUCAGACAUCGUAUUCCAAGUAACUUUGCGGACAUUAUGUUUCUCCAUUAGAUUACUAAUUCUCUUUCAUCACAGAUUAGCCAUCUCCACAGGAAAAUUCUCUGAAGGUAAACUAUCAUGUUCAUCACUCGAUUGCAAUCCGAGAAGAAAUUGUUUUUCCUAUGUCCCAAUAGCAGAAAAAUUUUGGACCAAUUUACAUGAUACAUAUGAGAAUUUUCUAAACAGAGUGUCAUGUCAUGUAUCUCGAAGGAUGCUAACUUAAUAUAGUAAGACCAGCAUUAAAAUCUUUUCAGAUAUGAGUAGGUUCCAAAGUACUCAAAUUUGAGCACCUGUACGGAACAAACCAUUGUGUGCACUGUGCAGCUCUUCGUGUCUGAUUCCUCCACCACUGUGAUGAGCAGCUGCAGCAUCCUCAGUGGCUAACCUCAGGCCCUUGAAAGACUUAUUCAACAGAUUAUGGUGAUAAGUCAAAUAAUUAUAAAUGAUGUCGGCUCCACGGAUCCUUUUAUUCCUGCAAUGCGGAUAAAUGCCCAAGAAUGUUUUAUAAUUAGAAAUGCCUGGAGAAACAAACAAAACCUAUUGGUUAGUUGUGUAAUAUAAUUAUAUACGUGUAUAUGUAUAUAUAGAAACAUGAUUCAUGAGGUUGCUUUAAUCAUUUUCUUCCCCAAUAAUCUGAGUUUUACUGCUCUCUAAUGAUUAUUACUAUCCAAUAAAGAAAAAUGACUUCUUAAACCAAUGUUGGUUUGCCAAAAAAAUAAUCCAACAACAAUAUUUGUUUUCUGAUCACCAAAUUGCAGUGCUGAAAUUUUUUUUAAACGAGUGGAUGACACAAAUCUCCACCAAAGCAAAUGGUUAUGAAACAAAUGGGGUCUUAAUGAAGUGGGGGCAAGGGGUGUUGUUCCAAUAGGGUCGGAAGCGUGUAAAUUAUUGUACUAAAAAAUCACACAAAGUUCAAUUCUCAGGGAAGAGAGGUGGAUCACAUGGAUCUCUUAAAUACCAAGUCUUUCCUUAGACAGAAUAUCCCUUCUAUAGUAAUUUAAUAGCACAAUUAAAUACUACUAUUAUACCCUCAAAUAUUGAAAGAAAAAUAGGACAAGAAAGAACACAAGAGUUUUAACGAGGUUCGGUAAAUUAUACCUACGUCCUCGGGCACUAACACCAGAUGAUAACUUUACUAACUUCAAAGUAUUACAAACAAAUAGAAUUCCUUAAGAAUUCUCAAAUGGGAGAAAAAGAAAACUAAGAGAGAAAGAUUGGUUGGGAUGAAUUGAAAUGAGAAAUGAGAAGGCCUAUUUAUAGUUGAGGUUCAAGGACCAAACAAUAAAUAGCCCAUUAUCUCAAGGACCAAAAAAAAAUUAUCCUUGCCACUUUUCCAAAGUUGGUGGUUGUCAUUAUUGAUUGUCUCCCAUUAAUGUUAAUGGCAACCAUUAUUAAUUGUCUUCCAUUAAUGUUAACAAUCUCCACCUUGAAGAUUUGAUUAGGAUAAUCACAUCUUCACACACUUCCUUCAACUCCCCAAAUUCGAUAAAGCUAUCUUUUGUAGUGCCUACAAAUGCGCUCUCGAGCGCCAUACACCUGAAGGUGCUCAAAUUCUCAGUAUGUUAAUCAAGUUCAAACAAUGAUUAAACUUGAUUGUUGUUACCACCUUGGUCAUCAUAUCUGCGGGAUUAUCUGCUGUCGGAAUCUUCUGAAGUAGAAUUUUUCCUUUUUCAAAGACUUCCCGCACAAAGUGAUAUCUUACGUCGAUAUGCUUGGUUCUUGAAUGAUAGACUUGAUUUUUCGCUAAAUGAAUAGCGCUCUGACUGUCACAAUAUAAACUUAUGUGACUUUGAACAACUCCUAAGUCUUUCAACAAUCCAUUAAGCCAAAUAGCCUCCUUAACAGCUUCUGUAACUGCCAUAUAUUCUGCCUUUGUAGUAGACACAGCUACUGUAGACUGUAAGGUAGACUUCCAACUCACUAGGGCUUUCGCAAGAGUAAACAGAUACCCCGUAGUUGAACGACGUUUAUCUAAAUCACCAGCAAAGUCGGAAUCAACAUAUCCAACUACAAACUGACCAAGUGCUUCAUCCUGUUCAAAAAUUAAACCAACAUCUACGAUUUUUCGAAGAUACCGUAGAAUCCAUUUCACAGCUUGCCAAUGUCCUUUUUCAGGAUCAUGCAUAUACCUGCUCACAACUCCAACAGCUUGUGAAAUGUCAGGCCUCGUACACACCAUCGCAUACAUCAAACUCCCAACUGCAUUAGCAUAUGGGACUUUCGCCAUAUAUUCUCUUUCAUCUUUAGUCUUCGGAGAUAAUUGAGCACUAAGUUUCAAAUGAGAAGCAAGUGGGGUACUUACAUGUUUUGUGUUUUCAUUUACACCAAAACAUUGUAAUACCUUUUUCAGAUAUUGCUUCUGAUUUAAACAGAGCUUGCCUCUCGGUCUAUCUCUACUUAUCUCCAUGCCGAGAAUCUUCUUGGCCUCACCUAGAUCUUUCAUCUCGAACUCUUGAUUCAACUGAGCCUUCAGCUUAUCUAUCUCAUUUUGGCUCUUCGAAGCGAUUAACAUAUCAUCAACAUACAAGAGUAGAUAAAUGAAAGAUCCGUCAUGCAGCUUCUGCAAAUAUACACAAUUGUCAUAUUUGCUUCUUGUGUACUUUUGCCUUCUCAUAAAGCUAUCAAAUCGCUUGUACCACUGCCUCGGGGAUUGCUUCAAUCCAUAUAGCGAUUUGUUAAGCUUACAAACCCAAUUUCUACCACCAGCAUCUGUGUAUCCUUCUGUCUGAGUCAUAUAGAUCUCCUCUUCUAACUCACCAUGCAAGAAAGCCGUCUUAACAUUGAGCUAGCUCCAAAUUCAACUGUGCUACCAAGGCCAACAAAAUUCUAAUGGAGGAAUGCUUCACAACAGGGGAAAAUACAUCAUUGUAGUCAAUUCCCUCCUUCUGAGCGUAGCCUUUAGCUACCAAUCUUGCCUUGUAGCGAAUAUCCUUCUUGCUAGGAGAUCCAUCUUUCUUUGCGAAUACCCACUUGCAUCCGAUUGCCCUUUUACCUUUCGGUAAUUGCGCCAACUCCCAAGUAUUGUUCUUCCGGAGAGACUGCAUUUCUUCAUCCAUGGCGCUUUUCCAUUUAUCACUUUCUAAGCUUUGCAUUGCUUCUUGAUAAGUGAUAGGAAUAUCAUCAACAACGAGAAGGGCGUAGGCCACCAUAUCAGUAAAUCGAGUAGGUUUACGAAUUUCUCUCCGUGGCCUUGCAACUGCAACUGGUUCUGGUGUACUUAGUGGUUCUUGGGUCAGAACCUCUUCAACCUCUAAUUCCUCCAUUGUGGCUGGAGAAUUAGACUUAUUGACUGGGCAAAUCCCCAUCUGCUCAAACUCCACCUGUUUUGGAGUACACUCCACCUGCUGUGGAGUAUUGCUCGUCUGAAUAUCUUUAUCUGCUACCUUUUUCAAUGUGGCAGAUUCAUCAAAGGUAACAUCUCUGCUACAAAUCAUUUUCUUUGUGCUUAAGCACCAAAGACGAAAUCCCUUCACUCCAGAAGUGAUUCCUAUAAAGAGAGCUUUCUUUGCCCUCGGAUCUAAUUUUGACUCCUUUACAUGGUAAUAUGUAGUGGUUCCAAACACAUGUAAGGAAUCAUAAUCUGUAGCCGGUUUUCCAGACCAUACCUCCAUAGGAGUUUUUCUUUCUAAUGCAGAUGAUGGCAAACGAUUAACAAGAUGGCCAGCGUAUGUCACAGCCUCAGCCCAAAAUUGCUUGCCCAACCCAGCAUUGGACAACAUACAUCGAACUUUCUCCAGCAAUGUUCGAUUCAUACACUCUGCCAAUCCAUUCUACUGUGGUGUAUCCCUAACUGUGAAGUGUCGAACAAUACCAUACUCUUGGCACACAUCGAAGAACGGAUCACUUUUAUAUUCCCCUCCAUUGUCCAUCCUAAGCCGCUUGAUUUUCUUGCCAGUCUGGUUUUCGAUCAUAGUUUUCCAUUUAAGAAAAACUCUAAGCACUUCAUCCUUAGUUCUCAUGGUAUACACCCAAACUCUUCUGGAAAAGUCAUCAACAAAAGUAACAAAGUAGUGUUUUCCUCCCAAUGAACGUGUCUUGGAAGGCGCCCACACAUCUGAGUGAACAUAUUCCAAAAUACCUUUUGUAUUAUGGAUAACAGUACCGAAUUUCACUCUCUUUUGCUUUCCCAGAACACAAUGCUCGCAAAAUUUUAAUUUGCAAGCCUUUGCACCUUUCAACAAUCCUUGCUUUGCCAGAAUUUGCAAGGAUUUUUCGCUGGCAUGUCCCAACUUCAUAUGCCACAACUGUAUUGAGUCCAAUUCUUUGUUGCCGGAAGCUGCAGCGACUGCUCCAAUAACUGUACUACCUUGGUAGUAAUACAAGUUAUUUUUCCUGAUGCCCUUCAAUAUCACAAGUGCGCCAGAUGUCACUUUCAAAACCCCAUCUCUCAUAGUAACAACUGAACCAUUGGAUUCCAAGGCUCCCAAUGAGAUGAGAUUUUUCUUCAAACUGGGCACGUACCGAACAUCAGUCAGAACUCUGGUUGAUCCAUCUUUAUUCUUUAAUUGGAUUGAACCUAUCCCAACAGUUUUACAGGCAUUGUCAUUGCCCAUAUAAACAACUCCUCCAUUUAGUUCUACUAAAUCAGAGAACCACUCCCGGUUAGGGGACAUAUGAUAGGUACAACCCGAAUCCAAUAUCCACUCAUCUGAAUGGAACGACGAUGAUGAUGCAACCAGUGAUAGUUCAGAGUCACUAGUAUCAUGCUUAGCAACACAAGCAUCUAUAGCAGCUUUUCCCUUAUUCUUCAGCUUUGGACAAUUUUUAUUCCAGUGGCCUUUCUCAUGAUAAAAAGCACAUUCAUCUUUCCCAAGUCUGGACUUUGACUUUGAUCUCCCCUUUUGAGUUUUCUUCCGAGUGUAUGAACGACCUCGGACUACUAAAGCUUCUGUAUCUCUGAUUGAGUUUUUCUGUUUGUCCUUCUUUCUCUGUUCAUAACUGUAUAAGGCCGCACAGACUUCGCUCAGAGAUAUAUCACUCCUGCCAUGAAGUUGAGUAGUUUCUAGGAACUCAAACUCCUCAGGAAGUGACCCCAACAGCAUCAAAGCCAAAUCUUCAUCUUUGAAUGUCUCAUCCAUAUUCAACAAAUCAGUGACUAACUGAUUAAAUUUGGUGAUGUGAUCAUUCAUUGUGGUACUUGGGACGUAUGUGAAGCGAAAUAGUCUUUUCUUCAAGUGGAGCUUAUUUUGACUGUUUUUCUUCAAAAAAAAUUUUUCAAGUGCCACCCACAACUUAUUUGCAGAAGUCUCCUUUGAAAAAGCAUACCUCUGCUCUCGAGAAAGGCAUGAUCGAAUUGUGCCACAUGCCAACCGAUUGAUUGCCUUCCAAUCUUUCUCCUAUACAUCAUCUGGUUUCUCUUCAUCAAUGGCAAUGUCUAGACCCUGCUGAAAAAGGGCAUCUAGAACAUCACUUUGCCACAUACCAAAAUGGCCCGUACCAUCAAAGAUCUCCACGGCCAAUCUUGCAUUUGCAAUUGUCGGUCUUGUCCACAUGGACGAUGUUGAAGCUCCUACACUGACCGUUUUCUCCAUAAUCUUUCAAUAUACCUAAGGAAAUCUUUUCUGAUGUGGAAGAUCAGUUUAAACUGCAACCACAGAGCAUACUACGAUUAACCUUCGGCUCUUGAUACCACUUGUUGUUCCAAUAGGGUCGGAAGCGUGUAAAUUAUUGUACUAAAAAAUCACACAAAGUUCAAUUCCCAGGGAAGAGAGGUGGAUCACAUGGAUCUCUUAAAUACCAAGUCUUUCCUUAGACAGAAUAUCCCUUCUAUAGUAAUUUAAUAGCACAAUUAAAUACUACUAUUAUACCCUCAAAUAUUGAAAGAAAAAUAGGACAAGAAAGAACACAAGAGUUUUAACGAGGUUCGGUAAAUUAUACCUACGUCCUCGGGCACUAACACCAGAUGAUAACUUUACUAACUUCAAAGUAUUACAAACAAAUAGAAUUCCUUAAGAAUUCUCAAAUGGGAGAAAAAGAAAACUAAGAGAGAAAGAUUGGUUGGGAUGAAUUGAAAUGAGAAAUGAGAAGGCCUAUUUAUAGUUGAGGUUCAAGGACCAAACAAUAAAUAGCCCAUUAUCUCAAGGACCAAAAAAAAAUUAUCCUUGCCACUUUUCCAAAGUUGGUGGUUGUCAUUAUUGAUUGUCUCCCAUUAAUGUUAAUGGCAACCAUUAUUAAUUGUCUUCCAUUAAUGUUAACAAGGGGUGUCUUCAGAUGCAUAUGAAUUUGGUUUACAGGCGAGAUAGAUCACAAAUAUUAUAUUGAUAAAAAAAAUUGAUAUCGUUCGUGGAAAAUCAUUAGUGGAAUGAAGGAGUUAAAGUUCACAUGUUAUUCAUAGAAUGAAUUGAAAGAGUUGAGAGUUUUGAGAGAGAAUUUCAGAAAAAUAAUAAGUGGGAUGUGCAUGUUUUUCUAGAUUAUUUGAAGGCAUGUACGUAAUUAUGCACAACUUAUGGAAUAUAAGUGUUUUAUAUGUAUAAUAUAUUUAUUAAGUUACGAUGAAUCCUUUCACACGUUACUUUUAAAGUUAUGUAAAGUCUUAUUUUUAUAAGUAGUUUUAAGUUAAUAUUAAUGUGAUUGGACGAGACCCACAUAUUGAACAUAUAAAAAAAGUAUCGAUAAUCAUGUAAAAUAAAAUGUAAUCUUCAAAGUAAGUGAAUUUUUUUAAUCAAAAUGGAUUGACUUGACGAAAUUUUUUAAAACGAAAUAAAUAAAUAUCAUCUUACAUAUAUUUAUAUAUGUGUGCAAUAUACAUAAAUGUACCCUUAGCCCACCAAAACUUUCUUUCGCAAAUUUUAGACGGCGAACCAAAACCAAGGUACCUAACCACGUCCUACAAACCAGAUGUUCGUAUAGGUUAGAUGCAGGAUUAAGAAGCCACAACCUAUAAGGCUAAAACUUGCCACAUGCCCAUAUGACAUCUUACUUUCAAAAAAAAGAAAAAACAUGACAUUCAACUCAAAUCCUAUACAAAUACCUUUAUUUGUAAGAAGAAAUUUUCUCAUUUAUUGACUAUAAUUAUUAGAUUUUACAAGUAAAAUUUACAAAGUGGCACAGAUAUUUAGUCCAAUGAUAAAUCCGCUUUAUAGAUGAAAAGUAUAAAAAAUUAUAUAUUUUUCUUUUAAAUGAAAGCUAAAUUAAAAAAAAAACAAUUAUAUGGCUGAUUGUUUUUAUUGUAUUUUAAAAAAAGUUAAGUGAGUAGGUUUUUUACCCUGUGAUUCCCAAAAAAAAUGUUGUCAUCGAGGAUUGUUACCUAUACACAGAUAAAUUCAAGGAAAACUAUUUCAUGCAAGCUAAUCAUAUUUAAAAGCAAGCAAAGGGUCGUAAACAUUGUAGAUUGGAGCAUUUCAUGAAACAUAGUUACAAGCUAGAGUAUCAUCCCAUGACCCAUAGCAGUCUUCUAUAUUAUUGGGUUUUUGCAAACUUGGGCUUGAAUACACAAAUAGAAUAUAAUCACAGAAAACUUUGUUUUUUGUGUAUUGAAUUUGGGUUUAUGCUUCAUUUUAUUAUCGACAAUGAUAUCAGAACCUAUUUUAAAUCCAACAUCAUGACGAUUUGAUUUUUAUUUGUUUAAUAAUAUUUUGUCCCCUAACUAAUUGGCAAUUGAAAACUUCUACCCUUUGUAUGCAUGAUUAGUUUAGAAAUUUUGUGCAUAAUUAUCAAGCAACGUCGUGAUUACAAUUCUUGAACUCGAUUCCAUGAUAAGGAGUUCAAAUUUUAAAGUCGACCAAAGCAAGUUAGUAUCUUUCACUCUUUUAACAUAUAUUUCCAACUUCAUAUAUAAACAUUUAUUUAUACUCAUGGUUUAGAAACAGGGCUGAAAAAACUCUCUUGAAAGCAGAUACCAUUGGCGGCAGCCAUGGGUUUAUGUGAAGAAGAAAAGAUGCCUCUAUCUCUAUGAGUAGAAUUAUUGCAGUGGGUCACACCUUCGCUUUCAUUUACUUCAACUUCUCAGGUAAUAUUCCAACAUUACAGCGUUGAAUUGUUUGCAAAUUUAUUUACCUCAUAUUCCCACUUUCUUUGAUCUCUCCUUGUCCCAACCACGUUGGAUUUUGAACCAUUUGGUCUUAUAUUACAUAACAUACAAAUGAAAAGAAAAGAAAAACAUUUGCGAUUCCGACCAUAAAUAAAUAAUGUUCUGUUCUGUAACGAGAAACAGCCAAAGCUUCCAGCACUUACAAUAAUAAUAAAAGUAAUGAGGGUAAAGGCUUCAAAGUUUUUUUUUUUUUUGUUUUUUUUUAAAUAAAGGAUAAGGAGUAAGGAUUAUCUUAUGAUCCAACUUAGCAUUAGUGUUUAAUUGAAAAUUUAAAUACAAUAACUUCAAGAUAGAGUACAGUGUCCGUGUGGUGUUUGUUUUUCUACCUUCCCUGCAGGAUCCGAAACUUCCAAUUCAAGUUUCUUGCUAUAGAUAAGGUGUUUCGUAAGAAAACGUAAGUCUUAAAAGAGUUACAAGACAGCACCAGUUAUAUGGCCCUUGCUAGAUUCAUAGUUACUUUCCCAUGUACCGACUCUAAAGUGAAUGACUUUUUUUUUUCUUUGCAUAGCACUUUUUUUUUCCCCGAAAAGGAUAGGUAUCAAAAUGAUAUAUGUAUUUUAGGGCCAACACUCAGAACCACUUUUUGACCACUCAUAGUUUAGUUAAAAUCAAAUUUCGUUCUGUCUUUUGACACACUAUUUUCUCUGUCUAUUGAAAUGCUCUUCUGCUGUUGUUAGCACGCUUUCGUCUCUUGUUUUGCUUGUUGUUUAUUUUCUUUGAUUUAGUCAUUAUUGUAGUUAAGAACAUUGAUGAUUCUAUAGCAGACCUGUCACUGGAGUAUGAUGAAGAUGAAACCAUUCAAUUAGGGGCCGAAUCUUCAGAGAGUGAAACCUUGUAUGCUAAUUGUUUUGUAGGAAUGUUUCUUACCUCCAGUGUAGUUAAUUUCCAAGCGAUGAGAUUGACUUUGGCUAAUUUUUGGCAUCCAAUAGAGGGAGUCUCAAUCUCGAAUCUAGGCAAUGAAAGAUUCUUAUUCAAAUUUUAUUUUGAAGUUGACGUGGACAAAGUUGAAAAAAAUGGGUCAUGGAAUUUCAACUCUCAUCUAUUGGUGCUACAUCGGUUAAAGGAAGAGGAAGACCCUUUAUCUGUUCAAUUAAAUUGGGUAGACUUUUGGAUGCUUAUCCAUGAUCUUCCCCUUGGUUUCAUGUCUGAAGCGGUUGCUAGACAGUUGGAUAGUUUUAUUGGUGUUUUCCUUGAAUAUGAUGCAUCAACGACUCAGUUGGGUUAUAAAAGAAUAAUGAUGUUAAAUGUGCGAAUUGAUGUUAGAAAACCAUUGAAAAAGAAGAAGAAACUCACCUCUCGAAUGGUGAGUGGAUUUAUGUUCGAUUUGAAUAUGAAAAACUCAUUUUAUUUUGUUUCCUUUGUGGUAAACUAAGGCAUGGUAAAACUUUUUACCCGAUCAGAGCUCACAAUCCGCUACAAGAGUAUGUUUUCCGUUGGGAUAUAUCUUUACGUGCUCAGUUAAGGAAAAAUUUGGCUUGGAAGAGUAGAUGGUUGGUGGAGGAUGACGAUUGUGGUACUUUAAUUUAUGGAAACUAUAACACCCCUAACCCUUAUCCGUCGCCGGAACAGGGUUACAAAACAUUACCAGACUUUACAGAUUAAAUAUGAACAUUUCACAACUUUUAUUAUACAUGUUAAGAAUCAGUUAUAAAACACUCAUGUUGUCCCUUAGAUGGACCCUCAAGGCACAAUAUACACUUUAGAAAUGAAUUGGGACUAAACCGGAUACUUAGAGAAUUUUUCCUAAAAUCUCAAAAAAAUUUCUUAAAAGUAGGGGACACACGUCUGUGUGGCUCACACAGCCAGGAGACACACCCGUGUCUUAAGCCGUGUAGGCAUUCGAUGUGAGGCACACAACCGUGUCUCAGCCCGUGCCCUUACCCGUGUAACUCUCUGACUUGGGUCACACGGCCAUCCACAUGCCCGUAUGCUAGGCCGUGUGCAAGAUGUAAAGGUCACACAGCCAAGCCACACACCCGUGUGCUAAGCCGUGUGUAAAAACUUGAGCAUUCUGUUUUAAAAUUUUAAGGUGCAGGGGACACACGGCCAGACCAUACGCCCAUGUGUCAGGCCGUGUGGACGAAAAUAGACCAUUUUCAAUACAUCAAAUAGCCCCAAUCAAACAAUCAACACAAGCCAAAAAUCAUGUUUUAAACAUAAUAUAUCAUCACAAAACUCAAUUGCCAAAACUUACCAAAAUAACUCCGUUCAUUGAUUUACCAAAAUCUACUACUAAAUAUAUGCAUACUAACACAUAUAUAUGUCAUUCACAACCAUACUUCAAAUUUAGCUCUUUUCUAACUCGGCCCUAUACAUGUCAUAUAAACCAUAAAAUGUAUAACAAAAUCUACUGGAGCAAACUAGAUAGUGUGGCUCUAUGUGUUGAUCCGAUGCUUUAAACUUCUUAAAAAUCUAAAAAGAACAUUAAACGACACAGUAAGUUUAAUGAAGCUUAGCAAGUUCGCUGGCUUUAAAUAUAAAUCUUACCGAACAUACUAUAAUAAUUUAUUUAGGUAAAUUAUUUCACAAACAUUUCCUGCCAAUCACAACUUCAAUUAAUGAAUUCACUCAUUUGAGCUCAAUAUCAAUAAUAACUUAAAUUCUUCCACAUUAAUUCCAUUUGGCACUUACCAAUCAUUAUCAAACCAGAGAACGUCUUACGGAUUUGAGUACAUCGUAAAUAGAAAUCCAUAAGGGUUCAUCUAAAGCUCAAAAGAGUUAAACGGAAACCCAUUAGGGUUAAAUUGAAGCUCAAAAGAGCUAAACUGAAAUCCAGAAGCGUUAAUUUGAAACUCAUGAGUUUACUGAAGCUCGUGAGAGCUAAACGGAAAGCAAAUACGAGAGUUCGCAACAAAUGUUGAACAUCGGUUUACUUGGGUAAUUUUACCGUCAAUUCCUAUUUUGCACUAAACGACUAUACUCAAUCCUACGUUCCAUUCACUUCAAACACUUGAUGCAAUUUCAUAAAUUUAACAAUAAUUUUAUUUUCAACAAAUGUUACGAAUAAAUACAAAAAAUCAUUCAUCAAUUAACAUAUCACAUUAAAUUUUAACCAUUAGAACUUACCUGGGUUAAAUUGUGGAAAUUGUAAUGGUUCAGAGAUUAUUUGGCUAUUUUCCCAUUUUUCGCGUUGGUCUAAGGGCUCUUGAUCUAAAAUAUAAAAUUAUUAAUUCAUUAGCACAUGCUUCAAUUCUAAUUCACUUCACAAUUUAUACCACUCAAUUUUUGAAAUUAUACAAUUACCUCAACUUUUACAGUUUUUGUAAUUUAGUCCAUCGCCAAUUAACUCAUCAAAUAAGCUAAUUUUUCUCAAGUAACACUUUAUCUAAAUAUUUUAAACUAUUACACAGCCUUUGAUAAACAUAAUUUAAUACUAAACCCUAAGAUUUAAUUUUUUUACAAUUUGGUCCUAAAAUCAAUUUCCCUUGAAAGCACUUGAUAAAAUCAUCAUAUAACAAAAUUAAAACUUCAAAUCCAUGUUAAUUCAUCAUAAAAAUGCAGCACUCAUCAAUGGUAGCUUUCAAGAUUACUCAUAAAAUCAAAAACUAAUGAAUUAGAUAGUUAGACCUAAUUACAGAAGUCUUAAAAACACAAAUUUUAAGAAAAGAGCAAGAAUUGAACUCACAUGUAGCAAAAUAUGAAAUCCAACUUCUUAAGGGUUCUUCAAUGGUGUUUUUAGCUGAUAAAUUGAAGAAGAAUAACUUAGAAAAGUUGAGAAUUCAAUUUAUUUAAGUUUAUUUCACAAAAUUUACAAUUUUGCCCUUUAAUCACAUGAUUUUUGUUUUCUUUUCUGCUUAUGCCGCCUCAGGCCUUUGUUUUAGGCAUAAUUGCUCCUUAAGUCCUUCUUUGUUCAUUAAUUAAGUCAUUUAAUCAUUAUUUCUUUAAUUAGCAAGUUUUGCACCUUUUUCUAAUUUAAUCUUUUUUAAUUAAUUAACUAUCGAAACGUUAAAAUUUUCUAACGAAAUAUUUAUAAAAAUAUUUACAGCUCAGUUUAUAAAAUCGAGAUCUUGAUACCUCGUUUUCAAAACUAGUUAAUCUAACAAAUAUUUCUAAAGCAUAAAUCACUAAUUCAUAAGCCUUCUUAAAUUCAGAAUCGAAUCAAAAACACUAUAUAAUAAAAUUUAUGAAUUAAUUUAUCGGAUUUAGUGUUCUCAAACUACUAUUUUCGAAACUACUGAAAAUUGGACUGUUACAAAAACUCUAUAAAAAUACGGAAAGGAGAAAUUUUGAGGUUUCAUAAUCUGUUUGCAUAAAUCAAUGAGCAAAUUCAGAAUUUAUUUCCAAUUAUUCCCUCUCAACAAAAGGAAUGGUGAAUGUCUAGUUGACUUCAAGCCCAAUAAAUAUGGGUGAAAUGGGUCGAGCUUACAACGAAGCUAGGAACAUCUUUGAUGCGAAUAUGGCAAUUUAUGAGGAGGAGAAUAACCCAAUAAAAUAAAGUGAUGGGCUAAAAAGACCUUUUUUUAAGUCUACUUCAGGAGUUUCUAAUAAGGAAGAUUUGAAUGAAGUUUCGGGUACUCUAUUACAGGUACCAAAUUCUAGUAGAUCGCCAGGCCCUGCUAAGUGGGCUAGUCGGAUGCAAUGAAGCUGUUGAGUUGGAACAUUCAGGUAAAGGGGAGGUCUUGGACAGUUUGUUGUCUCCAGCAUAUGCUGAGAGAUAUAAAUCUCUCUAUAGUGUUCCUAAUUGAGAUGAAACUAUAGGGUUUUAAUAUGGAAGGAACAAGACGCAAAUGUGGAUUUCUUAAUGGGAUGGAUGUUGAUUCAUAUGGUAGAAGUGAGGGUUUAUCAAUGGGUUGGAGUAGCGAUUAUAAGAUUUGUCUUCGGUCUUUUUCGAGAAGGGACAUUGGCAUUAUGAUUGAUAAGGAUACUGAUGGUAAAACUUGGUGAUGUACGGGGUUUUAUGAAGUGCCCGAGGAGAAUCUGAGGAGGCAUCGUAAAAUUUAUUGCAUUCUUUAGAUGACUGCCCACAUAUCCCUAUGUUUGUAAUAGGGGAUUUUAAUGAAAUAGCUUAUUCAUCUGAAAAGAAAGGUGGAUUACUUCAGAGGGAGAGACAAAUGAGAAGAUUUUGGGAAGCUCUUUAUGAUUGCUCUCUUACAGAUUUGGGCUAUAGAGGACAAUGGUUUACCUGGGAAAAAGGUCGUACUCGAGCAAACAAUAUUAGGAAACGUUUGGAUCAAAGGGUAGCUAAUGCAGUUUGAUGGGAUUUAUUUCAAAAUUACAAAAUGCAUCAUCUCACGCAUUCUUUUUUAUUGCAAUCAGAUUUUGAAAAUAAUCAUGCGAAAUGGUGUCACUUCAAGUUCGAGGUUGCGUGGCUUUUGGAAGAAACGUGUGAGUCAAAUGUUCUAAAAUUAUAGACUGAAAAUUUGGGUGAUGUCCUUAAUAGAUUGAAGGUGUUUGGUGUGGGCCUUAAAGCGUGGUUCAAAAGGAUUAAAAAGAUAGGGGUUUGUCGAAAAAAGAUCUUAAGAAGCAAUUCAUUAAGUUGAACAAAUCAUACCUAACUGAUGAGGUGUUGGGUGAUAUUGUUGAGAUAAAACUAGCCCUUAAUAUGGAGGCCGGUAGGGAGGAACUCUACUGGGAACAAAGAGCCAGAGCUAAUUGGAUGAAAAAUGGUGACCGAAACACAAAAAUUGCAACAAAAAGAAGACGAAGGAAUAUGAUGGAUAAACUACUAGAUUUUGAUGAAAAUUAUUAUAAGAGCAAUGAGGAGCAGUUGUCACUUGCCACUGACUACUUUGCCUCUCUAUUCACUUCAACUAGAAUCGAAAAUCCAGGUUCUAUAUUAGAAGGGGUUGAGCCGUGCAUUACUCGAGCAAUGAACGAGGAACUUGCAAAGGAUUUUUCUUACGAGGAUAUUUGUAUGGCGUUAAAAUCAUGAAUACAUUAAAGACUUCUGGUGAGGAUGACUUGGGUGCAAUUUUUUAUCAAUGGUUUUGGCAUAUUAUGGGUAAAGAGGUAGCAAAUUAUUGUAUUGAGAUUUUAAAUGGAGGCACAAUAUCGCUGAAAUCAACCAGACACAAAUUGUUUUAAUCCCUAAGGUUAGCUGUCCAUGAAUUAUGGCUCUAUUUAAACCGAUUAGCCGUUAUAAUACCCUUUACAAAAUUAUUGCAAAAAUGCUAGUGAAUAGGUUUUAAAAAGUCUUUCACUAUUGUAUAGAUGAGGUACAAAGUGCAUUUGUACCAGGGAGGCUUAUCACUGAUAAUAUUUUAGUUGUCUAUGACGUUUUACACUCCAUGAAAAAGAAAAAGAAAAAGAUAAGAGAUGAAGGGUCUUUUGCUUUGAAGCUUAACAUGAGUAAAACGUAUAAUAGACUAAAGUGUGCGCUCAUUAAUGUCAUGCUUAGCCGAAUGAGUUUCUCGAAGUUGUGGGUUCAGAAAAUUAUGAGAUGUAUUGAAAUGAUUUCUUAUUCUGUGGUUAUGAGCGGAGAGGUGGGUAAUUUGUUUCUUCCUUAUCGGGGGCUUAAACAAGGGGGCCCACUUAAUCCUUAUUUAUUUCUUAUUUGGGGAAGGUCUGUCAUCUUUUCUUAGAAUGGCUGCUACAAGUGGGGAUCUCAAGGGUGCUUGCAUUAAGAGACACGCUCCAGUUAGCACCCACUUGUUAUCUUUGCAAAUGACAGUCUUAUCUUUGGAAAGGCCACAACAGAUGGGGCUAUGGUGCUUAAUGAAAGACUGGAGAUUUAUGCCAAUAGUUUGGGUCAAUUAAUAAUUUUUGAUAAGUCUGGUAUGUUUUUAGUUCCAAUGUUGAGUAGAAUAGCAAAAAAGAGGUUUAUCGAAUUUUAGGGGUUAAUCCAAACAUUAAUCCAGAAAAGUAUAUUGGUCUCCUUUAAAUCGUGGGGCAAAACAAAAAGAGGGCUUUUAGGGAGAUAAAAGAAAAUCUAAUUAAAAGAGUGUUUAGUUAGAGUUCGAGAAUGCUUUCGGUGGGUAUAAAAGAGGCCCUUAUCAAAAUAGUAUUUCAGGGAGUUCCCAUGUAUACCAUUUCUUAUUUCUUGAUGCCCAAUUCCUUUUGUAAGGAACUUGAAACUGUUAUUGCUAGAUUUUGGUGACAGAAGAAAGCUGGGAGGAAUGGUUUACAUUGGAGUUCUUGGAAACCAUUGUGUAUUCCAAAAGAGGAUAAAGGUAUGGGUUUCCGUAAUCUUUCUAAAUUUAAUAUUUCUUUAUUAGCAAAACAAUGUUAGAGAUUGAUGGAAAAUCCAGGCUCGUUAACAAGAUUAAUUCGAGAAAAAUAUUAUCACGGUUUAAAUUUUCUAGAAGCCCCAUUGGGCUCAUACCCGUCCCUAAUUUGGAAAAGUAUAUGGUGUUCCAAAGCUUUGUUAAAAUCUGGUAUUGGAUGAAGGAUUGGUUCUGGGCUAUCUAUCUUGAUAUGGCAAGACUAUUGGUUACCGAGGAAGAAUAGAGCACUAAUUACUACAAACAAGGUAGCAAGAUUGGAAUGUGUAAGUGAUUUGAUUCUCCCAAACCCAAAUAGAAGAGAUCGACAAUUAAUCUACUCAACUUUCACGGAGGAAGAAGGAAAUUUGAUUGUAAGAAUCCCUAUACCUAUCACUAAUCAAUCUGAUAAAGUAAUAUGGUCUAGAGAAAAAUCAGGUUUUUAUUCAGUAAAAAGCAGUCACAAAGCCUUCAUCGAACUUCUCAUUUGAGUACUAUUGAGCAAUAUAAUUUUAAGCAAAUUUGGAGUUUAACGUGCCUAUCAAAAAUUCACAUUUUAAUGUGAAAAUUUGCAAAUAUAUAUAUUCCUACUUUCCAGAAUUUGCAUUAUAGAAGAAUUUUGUCAGAGAAUAGUUACCCGCGCUGUCAGGAUUGUAGUAAAUCACAUGUUCAUGUUGCUCGAUACUGUGCAUUCACUAUGCAUGUUUGAUCAAAAUUAAAUUAUCAGUGGCCAAGUUCAAUGCGUCUAUGAGUUUUAACAACUGGUUAAACUGGCUAUUCAUAAAUUCAUCCAGUAACAGUAAAGGGGAAAUAGCCAUUACAAUUUGGGCAAUCUGAUUUUCCCGCAACAAACUGAUACAUGAAAGAAAAGUACAAAGUGUGGAGGAAGUUGUUACCUUUAUCAGGGGUUAUGGCAGGGAGUACAAGAGGCGUUUUGGAAUAUUACAACACCCCUGACCCAGAUAGUUGAUAAAAUGGGAGCCCCCCCUACGAAUUGGGUCAAAGUGAAUGUUGACGUCGGUUUCUCAGAGGCAAAACAACAUGCAACAUUGGGUUUCUUAAUUAGAAAUGAUGAAGGUCUUAAAAUAGGGUCGGGAAUCAGAACUCAUAACCUAGUUAGAUCGGUGGUGUUGGCUAAAGCGAUGGCUGCUCUUCACGGGCUCUAGUUUGCGUUGGAGAUGGGUUUCACGAAAAUUAUUUUGGAAAGUGACUCUAAAACAAUUAUUAAAAACCUCCAAGCAACAAAGGAAGACUAUUCAGAGAUAAGACCGAUUACUUGGGAUGUGAAGGCUCUUACAAUGAAAUUUUCUUCAUGUCAUUUUGAGUUCGUUGCGGGAGAAGGUAACGCAGUGGCGCAUGCGAUGGCGGUCGAAGGGAUGAGAAGAUCAGAAGACUCGUUCUGGGUUGAAGAUGCCCUAUUAAAAGCGAUGGAAAUGGCAGAUUUGGAUCGUCUUUUCAUCUGGCCACCAUAAUUUCCCUCCUCUGCUGCUCGCUGCUCUGGGUUGAGAACUUCUGAUAUUCUAAAGGUAUAUCUCAACUCCCUUCCAUUGUUUGCUAGUUCUGAUUACCAGAUCUCGCAAGGUUUUGGCUGUUUGGGUUUUCUGGUCACUGAAGGGUUUGGAAGAAGCUUCUAGAGUUGCAUCAUGUUUUAUUUUCUUUAUUUUAUCUGUUUGAACUUCAUUUUCUAUCUGCUUUUGUUUUGGACUUCCAAGCCCAUUUUAAUCAAAAUGAACCGUUUAUUCAAAAAAAAAAAUAACUUUUUGACAAAAAAAAUACUUUUAAGCAAAAGCUAAAAAUUUUUAGUUUUGCUUUUGAUAAAAAAAAUAAUUUUGUAAAAUAUUUUUUUAUCUCAAAAAUAUUUUUAAAAAGCUCAAAAGUAUAUUGUUUAGUAAUAUUUUCAAAUCAAAAGUAUUUUUUGUCUCAAAAAUACUUUUGAAAAGUAAUACUAAUCAGACUCAAAAGUAAUUACGAUUUUUUUGUGUCCUUAGACACCGAUAGACACUCAAUUUGAUUGUUGGAACUGAAAAAAAAAGAAGUGUUACUUUCAUGUAUUUUCCAAUUAUUAUAUAUAAGGAGAUGGUAGUGAAACACUUUUUUUUCUCAAUUAAAAAAAAAAUUUAAGUGAGUAGUUUAUGGGAGAGUGAGUAGUUUUCUUUUUAGAUCUGACUUUUUUAAAGGUUGGAAUUAAUGAAUAUAAAAGUAAAAAGAUUGGUAAAUAUUGAUUAUUUACUGUUUUGUUCUACAUUUUCUUGAUUUAUAUUAACUUUUAAAGAGAUUUUAGUAACGUCAGUUAAGACCAUAAACUUAAUCAGAAAUAGUAAAAAACUUUAUGGCAGAAAAAAGUAAAAAAUAACUAAAAAAGAAAAAGGGAACUAAAAUAUGAUAACCUCUUAAUCCACUAAUGAAAUAAAAAUUUCACUAUUUAUAAUCUACUUCCCUUUUCCGGGCCAGUGUUUCAAACUAGAAACUUCUUUGGGUCAUCUUCAUAUUAGAUUGAAGCCCGAUUUUAGGUUUAUGUACCAAAACCAAAAAUUAGUUAUGUUUGGUAAAUGAAUUUGAAUACAUGCACCACCACUCUCAAUGCUCACCCACCUAAGCCCAUGACAUAAACUGCAUUUAAGUGAACCAGUGGCAGUUGGAGCCAUUAUGUUGGUUGAAAAAUAUUGUUGGCAGUGUUAUUCAGCAGUACUUGUUCUAAGGCUCCUACUACAUUUCUCAUUAUAAAUGUGGAGAAAUCUUGUUCUACUUUCCAUUCCAUGCAACACUAACUUUUAGAUUCCCUUUCCAUUGCACUGCUCUUUCUUUCUAUAGAAUUAGUCACUCCUGUUCUAGAUGAAGGUUCUCUCCCCAAUUCUUGCUUGCCUAGCGGUAAGUUUUUCGAUUUCAUGUGAUUAUUCGUUGUUGAAUGCAAAGAACUAUGAAGGGUUUUUUUUUACCUCAACUUUUCUUGUUUGUUAUUUGUUGUUACAGCUUGCUGUGGUGGUAAGCCAUGCUGCUCUCUCACCUGAGCAAUAUUGGAGCUAUAAGCUGCCAAAUACUCCAAUGCCAAAGGCUGUCAAAGAAAUUCUACAUCCAGGUGAGUGUUUAAUAUCCCAAGAAUUCUUUUUUUUUUUUUUGAAUCAUGUUUACUCACCGACAAAACAGGACUACUGUGAUAUAAGCCCUCAACUUGAGAUGGUCAGGAAAGUGAGGACUGUAGAAUAUCAGACCCUGGUUUCCCAUAGAAUUGAAUUGAGCCUAAUGCAGCAAACAAUCAUGUAAUCGUGGAAGCCGGGUAAUAAUCAGAAAUGAGGUGCUUAACAUAGUUCUGUUCCUGCAAUUUAUUAAAAGAGAAAGAGCCAGGAUACUUUCUGUUUAGCAAUAUAUUUCAGAAAACAUAGGAAUAGGAUGUGUUCUGCACAUAUUGACUUAUUAUGAAAAAAAUUGUUGGAAUCAUGCAUUCAUCAGCAUGUAUAUGAGCUCUCUAGCCCAUUUUGGUGUAUUUGCAGAACUGAUGGAGGAGAAAAGCACCUCUGUAAAUGUAGGAGGUGGUGGUGUAAACGUCAAUACAGGAAAAGGGAAGCCUGGGGGUGACACCCAUGUGAACGUUGGAGGCAAAGGAGUUGGAGUGAACACGGGAAAGCCAGGGGGUGGCACUCAUGUGAAUGUUGGAGACCCUUUUAAUUACCUAUAUGCAGCCAGUGAAACUCAAAUCCAUGAAGACCCGAAUGUGGCUCUUUUCUUUCUGGAAAAGGAUAUGCACCCCGGGGCAACAAUGAGCCUGCAUUUCACUGAAAAUACAGAGAAAUCAGCUUUCUUACCUUAUCAAACUGCCCAAAAAAUACCGUUUUCAUCUGACAAGUUGCCAGAAAUUUUCAACAAGUUUUCAGUGAAACCUGGAUCACUGAAGGCAGAGAUGAUGAAGAACACAAUUAAGGAGUGCGAACAGCCAGCGAUUGAAGGAGAGGAAAAAUAUUGUGCAACCUCACUGGAGUCAAUGAUUGACUAUAGCAUUUCCAAACUAGGGAAAGUUGAUCAGGCAGUCUCAACAGAAGUGGAAAAACAAACCCCAAUGCAAAAGUAUACAAUAGCAGCUGGAGUGCAGAAGAUGACAGAUGACAAAGCUGUAGUGUGCCACAAGCAGAAUUAUGCAUAUGCUGUCUUCUAUUGCCAUAAAUCAGAAACAACAAGGGCUUACAUGGUUCCUUUAGAGGGUGCUGACGGAACAAAAGCCAAAGCAGUAGCAGUCUGCCAC
rnacentral:lncRNA from 1 species